rnacentral:rRNA from 1 species
GUGAGGAAUAUUGGACAAUGGGCGGGAGCCUGAUCCAGCCAUGCCGCGUGCAGGAUGACUGCCCUAUGGGUUGUAAACUGCUUUUAUACGGGAAGAAACGCACCUACGUGUAGGUGUCUGACGGUACCGUAAGAAUAAGGACCGGCUAACUCCGUGCCAGCAGCCGCGGUAAUACGGAGGGUCCGAGCGUUAUCCGGAAUCAUUGGGUUUAAAGGGUCCGUAGGCGGGCCUGUAAGUCAGGGGUGAAAGUUUGUGGCUCAACCAUAAAAUUGCCUUUGAUACUGCAGGUCUUGAGUCAUGGUGGGGUUGCCGGAACAUGUGGUGUAGCGGUGAAAUGCAUAGAUAUCACAUAGAACACCGAUCGCGAAGGCAGGUGACCAACCAUGUACUGACGCUGAUGGACGAAAGCGUGGGUAGCGAACGGGAUUAGAAACCCUAGUAGUCC